rnacentral:rRNA from 1 species
CCUACGGGCGGCUGCAGUGGGGAAUAUUGCACAAUGGGGGAAACCCUGAUGCAGCGACGCCGCGUGAGUGAAGAAGUAAUUCGUUAUGUAAAGCUCUAUCAGCAGGGAAGAAAAUGACGGUACCUGAGUAAGAAGCCCCGGCUAAAUACGUGCCAGCAGCCGCGGUAAUAUGUAGGGGGCAAGCGUUAUCCGGAUUUACUGGGUGUAAAGGGAGCGUAGACGGCAGUGCAGGUCUGGAGUGAAAGGCGGGGGGUCAACCCCCGGACUGCUCUUGAAACUGUACGGCUGGAGUGCAGGAGAGGUAAGUGGAAUUCCUAGUGUAGCGGUGAAAUGCGUAGAUAUUAGGAGGAACACCAGUGGCGAAGGCGGCUUACUGGACUGUAACUGACGUUGAGGCUCGAAAGCGUGGGGAGCAAACAGGAUUAGAUACCCUUGUAGUC